rnacentral:rRNA from 1 species
CAAUAGCGUAUAUUAAAGUUGGCGUAUAUUAAAGUUGUUGCAGUUAAAAAGCUCGUAGUUGGAUUUCUGGCUGGAGCGAUCGGUCCGCCCCGCAAGGGGUGUGUACUAGCGUCGUCUCCGACCAUCCUUGUGGGAACUGUGCGGCCGUUAACUCGGUUGUAUAUGGGAACACAUCGUUUACUGUGAAAAAUUAGAGUGUUUAAAGCAGGCUUAAGCCGUUGAAUACAUUAGCAUGGAAUAAUAAGAUAAGACUUGGGUCAUUAUUUUGUUGGUUUGCGGAUCGAGGUAAUGAUUAAUAGGGAUAGUUGGGGGUAUUCAUAUUUAAUUGUCAGAGGUGAAAUUCUUGGAUUUAUGAAAGAUGAACUUAGGCGAAAGCAUUUACCAAGGAUGUUUUCAUUAAUCAAGAACGAAAGUUAGGGA